GGAUGCUGUUCCUCUGCCCGAGGCGCUGCUGGGGCUGCGAGGGGCUGCUUGGAACUCGAAACCUCGGGGUUCUGUUUAACGUUGUCUGUUGCGUUUGGUUCUUUUAUUCAGGCUGCAGGAAGGCGUCGGGAUCCGCCCCGGCCGGCGAGCCGUACCGAUAGCGAUGGAGGUGGUGAGCGCUCGGCGGUCCUUGGGGGGCUUUCCGCCUGGGUGAGUGCUUCAGUUUGUUCUGCUCUCAUCAGCGGGAGUGAGUGAGACGGGGCUGUGCUUCUGCGGCCUCGGCACUGCUGGGAGAGAGGAGCAACGCGAAGGGCUGCUAAAACCAGGUGUUCUCCUACUGGAGCUGCAGCAGAGCCUCUCUUCAUCCCAAACCAGCGAGGUUGUGGAAGUGUUGAGAGUUUAGGAGUCAGUAGGCGAGCUCUCUCCCCUUGGGACUUGGGUAGGGUUGCUGCUGAGCUAUCUCUGUUUCUUUGGGAUCAGCACGGUGCUGCUCUUGGAGGCCAAGGGAGACCUCUGGGUGGCCUCAGCCCCCCAAAAGGGUUUGUAGGUCCUUCAGCUCCUGCCUCCAGCAGCGGGAGCGAGCAGCAGGAUGGGACUGGGUGUUUCCACCUUCCUUAUGUGCAUGACCUCAUUCCCAUCGUGGUGGGUGAACUUGUAUGCCUGGAAUGCUGUUUGUUACGGAUUGCAUGUUUUUUUUCCAGAAGGACAAUCCAGCAGGGUGAUGGAGUUGCUUUUCAGGUGAGAGAGCUGGAAAGGAUUGAGCCCUGCCUAGGGAUGAAUGAACAACUAGAGGAGUGCUUGUGAGGUAGGUAAAGGUGAGUAACAUCCUUGGGGGUGUUGGUUACAGACCAGGGUGAGGAAGAGGAUAAGACCUUCUGCGCACAGCUGUGGGCAUUAGUUGUUCUCAGGGUAGGCUGAACCACCCUAUCAGCUGUUGGGGAAGCAAGGCUGCCAGGCUUGGUUAUUCCAGGAGGUUCUUGCAAUGUGUCAAAGGUAAAACUUAGGACACAAGCGACGGAGGAGCUUGCUCUCCCUACAGAGGGAGGCUCAGCUGGGGGUGGCUGCUCUGAGAUGGUGCAGUUCAGGAUCUGGUGUGGAAGAAGCAAAGCAGUAAGUAGGGUUGAGAUAUUGGAUUUUCAGGAAGCCUGGUUUGUCCUCUGAAAGGAUCUACUUGGAGGUAUCCGUGCAGUUGGAACGUCAGAAGAGGUCCUGUGGGCGGUUGUUAUUUCAAGCAAUUUAUUUGCGCUCAGGAGGGGCGCUCUUAGGAGAGUAAGAAAAGGAGCAAAAUAGCAGGGGAGCUUCAUGGGAAAAUGGGGCUUGCAGAAGAACUUGAAAGCGAGAAGGAAGAGAUUAGGAUGAGGAAGGCUAAAGCCUACUUAGUUUCUUCUUUGGGGGGGGGAAGAUCAAGGAUAACAGAAGUUAGCAAGUUUGUGAACAGCAAGGAGGAGAGUAGGGUGGGUCCUCUGCCUCAUCAGGCAGGGGCUGGAAUGCCUUCUUUGUUGCAGCUGUGACUGCUGAGGAUGCUCCUUGACGAUCCUGGAUCCCAGAGGAAAGCGUCUUUGAGGAAGGAUGCCUUCCUGAUUGCAGAGGAGGCGGCAAAGAUCACGUGGACAAAAUUGGUGCCCCCCAGGUCCUAGUGGGACGUGCCUGUGUGUGGCGAAGGAGCUGGCAGAAGUGAGCACCAGCUGGCUCUGUGUCACAUUCUUUAUGAUGUUUUCUAUAGGAAAGUUGUGUGAGGACGGGAGGAUAGCCAGCAUCACGGCAGCCUUCAAAAAGGGUGUCAUUUCCAAGGAACUUGAAGAGUUUGCUAGGAAGCAGUCAAGGUGGCAUCACUGAGGGGAAAUUGUGCUGCUCCAACCUGGGAGCGUCAGGUCAGAAGAGCAGGGGAUGCUGCAAACCUGACUUCGGUGUUUCUGUUGGCGUUUUUGUAAUGAACUUAACAAGUGUGAGAUGGUGACCUGGAUGAAGGGAGAGUCUCUAAUGUCGGUGAGUGAGCGGAUGAUGCGAAGCUGGGAGGAGCAGUGACAUUCAGCGGGACCCCAUAAACUGUGGAGAGCAGGCAUGGGGUUGUGCAACUGGAGAGGAAUAACAGCAUGUACUGUUACCAGUUAGGAACUGGUCUGCUGGAAGGGUGACUGGAGGAGAAGGACUCUUUGGUCAGCUGUGAGCCAGUGGCCCCAGAAAGCCAAGGCUGUCCUGGGGUGUGAUGGAGUUCUGCCCUGGUGAGGCUGUGUGGAGUAUUUGACUCUGCAGGUCAAGCAGAGGGGAAAGCUGUACAUGGGGUCUAAUGGAGGGCAAUGAUGAGGGGCCUGGAGCAUCUCCCUGUGGAGGACUGGAUGAGGACCUACAGCUGUUUGAUGAAGAGAAGGUGAGUGGAAUCUCCUUUUUGUUAGUAAAUAUCUUAAAUGUAGGAGUGUAGCAAUAUGAUGGGGUGACAUUUGUGGUUGUGAAUGCCAGAAGUUCUGCAUAAACAGAAGGAGUGAUUUGUUGGAGAGUGAUGGUAUAGGCUAACUGGAGAGUUUGGAAAUGGUCAUGUUGAGUGCGGUUGCCUUCCUGGGUGAUGUGGUAUAGGGAAGCUGCUUUAGCAAGGGAGCCUUUCCAAUCCUCUGUGGUUCUGUGACUGUCAUUUGGUUUCAGGAUGGAGGCUGCAAAGGAGUGUUUUUUUUGGCAAGGAUCUGCCUGAACAUGAGUGGUGGAAUGGAGGAGGUAAGAGCCCUCAGCUGUGUUGUGUAGGUGUGGAGGCUCCUUUGUCAGAGGUUUGGUGCUGGAACAAGGAUUGCUGUGUGACUGCCUCUACAGAGGAAGGUGUUUUUCCAGUGGAGUGGAAUUGAUGGAGCUUCACUUGGGCUGUAGCAGAAGAAUUGGAGCUGACUUAACAGUGUGUGCCCCAAAAAUAGUGGGAAUGAAGUUUGCUUCCAUAGUGUGAGAAGCAGGUUGUCUACUUCAGCACUAUGGUGUGUCAGACUUGCUUGACUCACCAAAUGAAACCAGUACUUUUCCAGUGUUUGCAUUGUUGCAGCGGAAUUCCUGGAGAGAAGCGUUGCUUGAGUUUGGUAGGGCUUCUCGAGUGUGAAGGUAGGUGUGCUGUCCUGAGAGCUGAGCGGCGUUGACUCUUGCAAAAAGAUGGUUUCCUUUUUUCAGAUAGGUAAGUCAAACCACUCUCAGCAAACCAAUGGAGAAACCAGAGACUAGUGCAUCUCUCCGGUACCCUUUGGGUCAAGUUAGGAAUCAGAAAGCAGCCUGGGUUGGAAGGAACCUGUGUCUCCAAGCUCUGCAUUGCUCUGCCUCAACUUCAGUUGCAUCUCUAUUCAAAGAAACAAUUUCUACACUAGGAGGAACUUAGCUGUGACACCUGGGCACAAAUUACACCUUUGGAGACAAACUUCAAGAUUUGCAAACUUCAAGAUUUGUUUCCUAUAGGUACAGGCCUGAAUCAAACACCCCUUCUGCAUCACGUUGCAGCCUGCUUCCCAAGGUUUCCAGAUGACUCAAACAUUUUUAUCUUCAUUUUUACUGCAGAGUCAGCAGUUAGUUAAUACAUGAACUGAAAUAAAACAAAAAACAACCACUGACAAGAGGGGAAGGUAGAAAACACUCUUGCUGUGAAACAGGCUCCAGGCACAGAGUGGUUCCCUCUGCUUGCUCCAGUUACAGCUCAGAGGCUCAUUCCUCAGAAGCAAAAUCUUAUAAGUAAACAUGGAGCUGAGCCUCUCUCUGCCCUUUAUUCCCUCCCAUGAAGCCUAUUUUUUUUUUAUCCCAUUCAACUCAAAGGCACCCUCAGAACAGUGGACUAAAUCUCUGCCUGUAAUAAAAUAAAUCUAAUUCUGGUCACAUUAAAAUACAUCACAGACCUUCAAAGGAAUAGUACUAGGCUGCCUAAUGAAAAAUAGAGUGCUUCAAGUGAGAUAAACCAACAUUCUGACCGUAAGCAAGAACAAACUGGGAUCUGGUGUCACAGGAUAUUCCUUCUCUCUGGGUUUUUGCAUAUUAACCAGCAGACAGAUUUGUGGAAGAUGACUUAUUGCUCUCAGUUUUACCACAAGGAAAAUACAUAAUGUUUCUAGCUGAUCGGUAACAUGAAGUUCAACUCUGUCCCAGUACGUUCAUGCAUGGCCUAACAAGUGAAAUUACUUAAAAGAGAGCCCUCGUGUCAAAAAAGGCUUUACAAAAAUGACUCAGGGAUUUUUCAGCUACUUGCCCUUACUGAGUGCAGAGCCCUCUGUCCCUCUAAGCUUUAGCAGCUCUGUAUGACUAUUAUUGAAUGGGAACCUCCAUUAUCUCAGUGCUGACUGAGGUACCAAUGCCCAUUGGGGUGACUGAGGGAAAGGGCAGUGAGUGUUUGCUUUGGCUGCUUAGCCAAGCUAGACUUAUGUUAUGCAUCCUGAUUUAAAUGUAAUGUGGAGAUGUAACAUGGAUGCCCCAUCCCUGGAGGCAUUCAAGGCCAGGCUGGAUGUGGCUCUGGGCAGUGUGGUCUGGUGGUUGGUGACCCUAUGCAGAGCAGGGGGGUUGGAACUAGAUGAGCAUUGUGGUCCUUUGCAACCCAGACCAUUCUAUGACAAGUGAAUCAAACAGACUUUUAACAGAGGAAAAUAAAAAAGAGGAAACCAUAGAUGUCACGUACAAACAUCUGAGAAAUAUCUCAGAAUUGACAAAAACAAAAAAAAUAAUCUGAGCAAAAGUUAACAUUUGCUCCUUUUUAUUUUGAGCAAUGUUAAAUACAGUUUCCCUGCACUUUGCAGUGUCAGCUAACAGCCUGCUAUAUCCUUAGCUCAGCCAUAGCUGGAAGGAUCAGUCCCUUUACAGACACCCACACAGUCCAUCUUUCCCUGCCCCAUUGGCCACCAGUUCACACACACAAGGAAUCAUCCAGUAGGUACAAUGACCAGUCACCACUGCAGCUGUUGCUGUGCCUUUGAAGGAAACACAAAGUUACUGCUUGUCUUUCUUCCCCUCCUCCUUUCUGAAGGCUUCUAGGCUGUAAGCGUGCAGGAGAAAACUGGAACUGCUUAGGCCUCCCCUGCAACAGUUUGGUUUCUGAACAAAGUUAUGAAACUAAGAGAAGAUACGGGCUUCUUCAUCAACUUUUUUAAAACACCAAAGAAAAAUCAUGUUUAAAGGUGAUGCUAUUAGCCGAAGACAACAGAAAAAGGAUGGCAACUUUCCCUAUAGAGAGCUCAAGAUGUGUGUGUCGUCAAUGCUUCCGGGACCCCUCCUGGGCUUCAGCAAGCACGCAGGCCAUGGCUAACAUUUCCAACCCUGAAACCCAGCCCUCCAAGAAAAGAGUAAAUCAAAAUACAUAACGUAGGGUGAUGCAGGGCUACUUCUUUCAUUUCAUCUUCACAGCACAGAGCUCUCUCUGCAAGACAGAUACGCAAGUGUAUUAAGCCCACUGACACCUCUCCAAAAGCUUAUUUGCUGGCUAAUUAGACAGUUGAAAAGAUCAACAGGUCGAUGGAAUUGAGAUAACGCUAUCCAAUGCAAUUACUACAAUUGCAAUAUUUUAGGAAUUGAAGCACAACUCCAUUCGACCUAUGCCAAAAAGUCUAUACACAGAAGUCCGCACUUAGGUGGUUAUUUUUCUCUAUCGGUUCAUAAUUGCCUUCUGUUUUUAAUCACAGCUUCUUUCUCCAACUGUUGCAAAGAUGGCACUGUUGUUUUUUCCUGCGUAGCCUGAAGUCCCCAGUGGCUACAGUCCACUUCUCUCCACCGCUGACGUUUAAGGUGCUGACAGCCCCCAAGCGCCCGAGGGAUCCUGCUAUCUUCAGCAAGAAACUACAGUGAAUAAAAAGAGCACAAGAACGCUAUUUGAUAGUGUUUUGAGGCUGAGAACUUGCUCUGCUUUUCAACAUAGUCACCGCUGCUAGCUAUAGACUUUGUCGCAUGGCUAUAUCUAAGUAUGCACGCAUUAUUACGUACUUGUGAAAACUUUUCCACAUAGCUGUGCUGUAAUUUGCAUCCACAUCUUACACUUACAUCCGUAAGAGGACUUCUGCCGGGCACGGGUGAGCACCGUUGGACUAUACAAUGCUUGAUAGCUGGGGGCAACAGUGCAGUGGCAACAACAGAGAAGUGAGGUGCAGCAGCAGGGGAUGCAGAAAAGAAAGAAACUCCUUACCUUUACAAGACCUGUAAAAUCCUCAAGGGUGCAGAGAGCUCUAGAAGACACUCUUUCUCCUCCCCCUGCUGGCCCUUAAAUGAGGUCUGGGAAGGGGUGGAUCCUGGCUCCACCCCUUCUAAUUGGCUGCAUUGCGUUCACCUGGGUUGGCCCUGCCUUCCACCAGGUGCUCAAUCACUGCUUCAGACCGUGACUUGACGUCUCUUAUGCAGACAUCAAUAAAAUCUCUGACUUGAUUUUUGGCUGCGUAAGGAACUGUACGUCAGAGUCGUGGUUUUCUUCCAGUUCCUCUCUACUGAGUUCACUGCUUCUUCUUUACUUGUUAUUCAGUGCUUGCUGUCUUCCCAUCAGCAGCCGUCCACCUUCGAAGCGAUUGGUGUCGGAUGUCAUUUCUCAUGGCCGGUUUCCCUGGCUUUCGCUAAUGCAAACUGAUGUACAACAUUUGCACUUUGGAGCGGUUCGAAGCAGUGAUUUCCAUUUUCAUACCCUCGUGCGCUUCGUUCAGUUAUUUCUUCUGCAGUACUUGUUGCCCUCCUCACACUGAAAAAAAAAGUGAAGCAGAACUUCGAUUAGGUCUAUGCAAGUUAUCCUCCAGCCUGUAAAAUAGCCUUCCUGCACCAUAAUCCAUUUUCUUUGCUUCUGAUAGCUACCUGUCUAAACAAGUCCUUGCUGUUUGUAUUAAAGUCCAUGCCCACGUGCCCAAUGCUUUCUGAAAAAUGACUUCCGUUCUCAUUUUGUUUCCUUACAUAAAAGCGCCUAGGAUCCAUUCCUCCAAAGCUAUGCUUUUUCUCCAUGCUACUUACUAACAUAAUGCUCCUCCCGGUCAGCUCAGGAACCUUCCCUGGCACUCUGUGGACGCACGGUUUGCCACUCAGGUUUUUCACAGGGUGCAUAAUCGUGGUGUAAUUCCUGUGUUUCGUGACUCACAGCGCGCUCUAAACUGAAGUAACUCAGCAGGCUUCAAGAGAAGCACGGUUUUAUGGUCAGUCAGGUCUGACUAAACUGUUGCGUGCAUUUCAGAGCAUCCUACAGAAUAUUUGUAUUGUAUUCUAAAGAAUACAAGUAAUAUACCUAUUAGCCUGCCCAGAAACAUUCCUGGGGCAGCUGGGGAGAAAAACAGUGACGUGCCGUUUAGUGGCCUUGAAGCGGGAUGCGCGCAAAGGUCUCCUCUGGGGGGUAUCAAACGCAAGGAUAUAGUAUUGCAUUUAUUGUUGGGCUCAGAUCUCCAUUGGCCUGAGGUUCUUGACUCGCGUAUGUUUGCACGAGCGGGUUUUUCACGAGCCUAUUCCUGCCUGCCCAGAUAUUUUUCCGUGGCACGUCAUAUUCUUUUGUUUUCCCCCGCUCAGAAGUGAAGUCUCUGUCAGCAGGGCUCUUCCUGUCUUUCUCGCCAGCUGCCUUCAAACAGAGAUUUUAACCGAUACUUCAGACGUUCAGGGUGGGUAUUCCCUUUCUCAUCCCUCUGGAAACUCGCCGAAGCCGCCGCUGUUUUAUUUGCCAAUACUGGAGGCCUAUUUUUAUAGCCAGAGCUCAAGGUGUGUCUAAACCAGGCCUUAAAUUUUUGGACCGAUCUUGACAGCUCGUUGUUAAAG
ensembl:lncRNA